GAUGAAGAACGUAGCGAAAUGCGAUAAGUAAUGUGAAUUGCAGAAUUCCGUGAAUCAUCGAAUCUUUGAACGCACAUUGCGCCCUGUGGUAUUCCGCAGGGCAUGCCUGUUCGAGCGUCAUUUCAACCCUCAAGCUCUGCUUGGUGUUGGGCCCUGCCCGCUGCGGCCGGCCCUAAAGACAGUGGCGGUGCCGCCUGGCCCUGAGCGUAGUACAUCUCUCGCUCCAGUGCCCGGUGGUAGCCUGCCAGAACCCCAACUCUCGUGGUUGACCUCGGAUCAGGUAGGGAUACCCGCUGAACUUAAGCAUAUCAAUAAGCGGAGGA
rnacentral:misc_RNA from 1 species